rnacentral:rRNA from 1 species
AGCCUUUGGAAAGGAUUAAAGGUUAUACCUGCCCAAUGUUAUAUUAAUGGCCGCGGUACUCUGACCGUGCUAAGGUAGCACAAUCAAUUGGCCCUUAAUUAGGGUCAGGUAUGAAUGGAGUUACGGGGCUUAGCUGUCUCUAGACUAUUUAAUUGAAGUUGCUAUAUAGGUGAAAAAGCCUGUAUUAAGAAAAAAGACGAGAAGACCCUUAGAGUUUUACUUAAAAAAGAGUUAUUUCUUCACUAGUUUUGUUGGGGCAACAUAGGAGAAGAACUAAACCUCCUAAAGGAUAUAAACCGAUGUUUUUAAAUGUGAAUAAACUACCUUAGGGAUAACAGCAUAAUUUUAAAAAUAAGUUUGUGACCUCGAUGUUGGACUAGGAAACUUAAGGGCUAGCCGCCUUUUGGUAAGGUUCUGUUCGAACUAUAAUUCCU